rnacentral:rRNA from 1 species
AUUGAACGCUGGCGGAAUGCUUUACACAUGCAAGUCGAGCGGCAGCACGGGGGCAACCCUGGUGGCGAGCGGCGAACGGGUGAGUAAUACAUCGGAACGUACCCUUCAGUGGGGGAUAACUAUCCGAAAGGAUAGCUAAUACCGCAUAUUCUCUGAGGAGGAAAGCGGGGGAUCGCAAGACCUCGCGCUGAUGGAGCGGCCGACAUCAGAUUAGCUAGUUGGUGGGGUAAAGGCCUACCAAGGCGACGAUCUGUAGCGGGUCUGAGGGGAUGAUCCGCCACACUGGGACUGAGACACGGCCCAGACUCCUACGGGAGGCAGCAGUGGGGAAUUUUGGACAAUGGGGGCAACCCUGAUCCAGCCAUGCCGCGUGAGUGAAGAAGGCCUUCGGGUUGUAAAGCUCUUUCGGCCGGGAAGAAAUCGCGUGAGUUAAUACCUUGCGUGGAUGACGGUACCGGAAUAAGAAGCACCGGCUAACUACGUGCCAGCCGCCGCGGUAAGAC